rnacentral:lncRNA from 1 species
CUCGAAGCUAUCUGCAUAACGAUCUUACUUAAUUAUGCAGCAGGCAGUCAUGUUUUCAUUACUUGUGACCGUCUUUGUGUGCGUAUUGCAUGUAUUUGUGAAUGCUGAGAGUUGCACGACCAACGAGGAUUGCACAGCAACAGCCUGCAGGACCGGAUAUUAUGUAGUGUGUGAACACAAGCUGGGCGACGGAAUAACUGCACUCGGCGGAUUAUGCACAUGCGCCGUUUUAAACUUUCAUUGCACAACAAGAGAUGACUGCAUAAACCUGCAAGUGCCUGGGUAUAGCUGCAUCAGCGACAGUCUUAAACACUGCUAUGAUAAUCUAUGUAUCUGUACCAGAUGGUGAACAUUGCUCGCAAAUUAAAUCUGUAGAAAAUGCUA